GACGAACGCUGGCGGCGUGCUUAACACAUGCAAGUCGAACGGAAAGGCCCUCCUCUUGUUGGGUGCUCGAGUGGCGCACGGGUGAGUAACACGUGAGUAACCUGCCCUUGACUUUGGGAUAACUUCAGGAAACUGGGGCUAAUACCGGAUAGGAGCUCCUGCUGCAUGGUGGGGGUUGGAAAGGUUCGGCGGGUGGGGAUGGACUCGCGGCUUAUCAGCUUGUUGGUGGGGUAGUGGCUUACCAAGGCUUUGACGGGUAGCCGGCCUGAGAGGGUGACCGGCGACAUUGGGACUGAGAGACGGACCAGACUCCUACGGGAGGCAGCGGUGGGGAAUAUUGCACAGUGGGCGGGAGCCUGAUGCAGCAGCGCCGCGGGCGUGAUGACGGCCUUCGGGUGGUAAACCGCUUUCGCCUGUGACGAAGCGGGAGUGACGGUAAUGGGUAAAGAAGCACCGGCUAACUACGUG
rnacentral:rRNA from 1 species